rnacentral:rRNA from 1 species
GACGAACGCUGGCGGCGUGCUUAACACAUGCAAGUCGAACGGAAAGGCCCUGCUUUUGUGGGGUGCUCGAGUGGCGGACGGGUGAGUAACACGUGAGUAACCUGCCCUUGACUUUGGGAUAACUUCAGGAAACUGGGGCUAAUACCGGAUAGGAGCUCCUGCUGCAUGGUGGGGGUUGGAAAGUUUCGGCGGUUGGGGAUGGACUCGCGGCUUAUCAGCUUGUUGGUGGGGUAGUGGCUUACCAAGGCUUUGACGGGUAGCCGGCCUGAGAGGGUGACCGGCCACAUUGGGACUGAGAUACGGCCCACACUCCUACGGGAGGCAGCAGUGGGGAAUAUUGCACAAUGGGCGGAAGCCUGAUGCAGCAACGCCGCGUGCGGGAUGACGGCCUUCGGGUUGUAAACCGCUUUCGCCUGUGACGAAGCGUGAGUGACGGUAAUGGGUAAAGAAGUAACCGGCUAACUACGUGCCAGCAUCCGCGGUGAUACUUAUGGUGCGACCGUUGUCCUGAUUUAUUGGGCGUAAAGGACUCAUAUGUGGCUUGAUCGCAUCGGAAGUGUAAUCUUGGGGCUUAACCCUGAGCGUGCCUUCAAUACGGAUUGACUUGAGGAACGUACGGAGAUAAUGGAAUUCCUGGUGGAGCGGUGGAAUGCCCAAAUAUCAUGAAGAACACCAAUGUCUAAAGCGGUUCUCUAGGCCUUUCCUGACCCUGAGGAACAAAACCUGCGGGAACGAACAGGCUUAGAUACCCUGGUAGUCCCCGCUGUAAAACGGUGGGGACUAGGUGUGGGGUUCAUUCCACGAGUUCCGCGCCGUAGCUAAACGCUUUAAGUACCCCGCCUAGGGAGUACGGCCGCAAGGCUAAAACUCGAAGGAAUUGACAGGGCCCCGCACAAGCGGCGGAGCAUGCGGAUUAAUUCGAGGCAAGGCGUAGAACCUUGCCUGGGUUGCACAUGGAUCGGGAGUGCUCAGAGAUGGGUGUGCCUCUUCUGGGGUCGGCUCACAGGUGGAGCAUGCCUGUCGUCAGCUCGAGUCGUGAGAUGUUGGGUUAAGUCCCGCAACGAGCGCAACCCUUGUUCACUGUUGCCAGCACGUUAUGGUGGGGACUCAGUGGAGCCCGCCGGGGUCAACUCGGAGGAAGGUGGGGAUGACGUCAAGUCCUCAUGCCCCCUAUGUCCAGGGCUUCACGCAUGCUACAAUGGCUGGUACAGACAGUGGCGAGCCUGUGAGGGUGAGCGAAUCUCGGAAAGCCGGUCUCAGUUCGGAUUGGGGUCUGCAACUCGACCUCAUGAAGUCGGAGUCGCUAGUAAUCGCACAUCCGCGGCGUUGCGGCGAAAAAGUUCCCGGGGCU